UGGUCAAUGUUGUAAUGUCGUCCAUGUAGCCUCUGAGUGGAGGGAGGCGGAAACCAGAGUCGACUCGCUGUCCACCAGCAACCCGUUUUGAGGAUCUGAUAACCGCCAUUGUGAAUGCCAACGGAGAAAUGGUACAUCCCGCCAUUGUACCUACAUUCAGGCACUGCCAUGAGGUGGUGAAGCAGAACUGCAGAUCCUGGAAGUACGACUUCACCAGGUUUGUGAUGGUGUCCGGUAUGUGGAAAAAUCUGAAGGCAGACCACAGGAGUUCAUGGGGCACAGAGCCAAAUGCAUUGGCGAGGUCGAGGAAGACUACAUGGAGGUCCCUUUUCUCCACCUUGGCCAUUUGGCUCUGGUGCCAGAUCAUGCUGGAAUGUUCCAAGCAGCCAGAGAACCCUGAUAUUCCUGCCUUCUGUACAGAUGUAUCGACGUACGCAUUCCUUUGCAGGUACUCGGCCAUCCUUUGGGCAAUGACCCUAAAGAAGAUUUUACCCUCGACAUUCCGUAAGGAGAUUGGGCGGAAUUGGCUGAUGUUCACUGCAUCCUUCUCCUUAGGGAUCAGGACCCCGCCUGCCCCACGCCACACUUUGGGUAUUAUCUUCUUUUGCCAAGCUGUUCUCAUAAGCCUCCAGAGGAACCUCAGGACGUCUGGUGCGUUCUUAUACACUUUGUACGGGACUCCAUUUGGCCCCGGGGCUGAUGCUGUUCUUGCCAGUCGAACUGUGUUUUCCACCUCUUUCCAUGUCGGAGGGCUGGUCUCAAUAUGAUGUUCCGGGGGUUCAAUGGGUGGGAUAUCUGAUGGGAUGGCCAGAUGUUCAUGUCGCUUUGAGUCAAAGUUUGUUGUUCUCAGGUGCUCCUCUACGUCUUUCUUUGUUGUUUUUAGAGCUCCACUUUUUUCCUUCGUGAAGAGACUUUUAAGGAACUUGAAGGGAUCUUUAUAGAAUCGAGUUCUAGUUUGUUCUUUCUUCCUUCUGCGUUUCCGUAGGUUCUCUGUUCUACGGAGGGAUGCCAACCCGGGUUUUGAUGUCAGCCUGAAGUGCCUCUAUGCCCUCCUUUUCCACUUCCGAGGCCUUCUUCCACUGUUUCUUAAGCUGCCACCUUUCUUGAAGAGGCGCUUGAUUUCUUGUUGCGUCCUGGAAACUGGUGGGGUUGGAACCUUUCUCCCGCCUUUUGCCUCUUCCACUCCAAAUCUUUCUGUCCCGUACUCAUAGAUGAUGUCCCCCAUCCUCUCCAACUUCUUCUCCACUGUGCCUCAAAGUUUCUCGAGGGUCAAGGUAAGGUCAGUGUUUCCCACAACUUCUUGUCACGGGCGCCAGGCCACUUCACAUACGGUCUGUGCCCUGGUAGUCUCCUCUCGACUGCAGUUCUGGGAGGCUGGGUGAGUUCCACUCCUGUUGUUGGUUCCACCUCAGUUGCUACUUCGGUGCUUGAGUUUACGUCCUCCAUGACAGUGGUACUGAUGCACUGCAAACUAUGGUUUGCAUCCAGUUGCUGUGCUUCAUUCGACUGAUUUGAUCGCUUUUGCAGAAAGUAAUCAAUGCGAGGCCUCUGUCUUUCUCUACCCAAACACCCCUUCUUCCCCUGGUGGAUCCUCAACCCAUGGUGUGAUGUAACUUUCCUCCAACCACAGACACAUACCUGCAUCUGUUUGUGGCCCACUGUUGCAGCAGAACUUGUGACAGUUGCUGUGGUGUUCUCUUGUGCUGUGCUCUCAUUACUCAUAGUCGUUUCCGGUCCAGUCGUUACCAUGUUGUCAGCCGAUGAGUCAUCUUCUGCCCCUGCUCUCGCAGACUCUAGGAGUAUUCUUUCAUAGUUGUCAAAUGGUAAAAUUGUAUUCCAAAUUGGAAUUGAUGGGGAAUGUUUUAUUUGAUGUCUGUCUAGGUCAGGGAUGGGCAACUCCAGUCCUCUGGGGCUUGAUUGGUGACACACUUUUGCCCCAAUAGGUUACGGGACUCAUCCGAUGGCAUUGAGGAGUUUACCACGUCAGUCACCGGCUUCAUUAAGUGCAUUGAUGAUGUCGUCCCCACAGUGACUGUACGUACAUAUCCCAGCUAGAAGCCAUGGAUUACAGGCAACAUCUGCAUCCGCACUGAGCUAAAGGCUAGAGCUGCCGCUUUCCAGGAGUUGUACACUAACCCGGAAGUUUAUAAGAAAUCCCUCUACGCCCUCUGGCGAAUCAUCAAACAUGCAAAUUGUCAAUACAGGACUAAGAUCGAAUCCUGCUACACCGGCUCUGACGCUCCUUGGAUGUGGCAGGGCUUGCAAAACAGAUCUGCGUUCUUACAAACAUGAAUGCAUAUCUUUUAAGCAGGAAGCAGGAGAAUGGAGUUAUGGCCUGAUUUGCCUAAGGGAGGCCAUUGUAUGCGGAGUAAAGCUAAAGGAGACUACAAUAAGUCUUGAAGGUGGAGUGUCUACGCAUUGAAAACUGCACAGGACUACACCUACAUCCUUGAACUUCAGGGAGCAGUGUUGAGAACACUGGGUUCUCAAUUGUGGAUACCAAGGGGAAUGAUACUGAGAUCAGAUGAGCCAAGACUCCCUGAAGUGCCACCACCAACAACGGAUGACCUGCUACAACUUUGAGGAGACGUUGACCUGCAACACAGGAUGCAGUUAGCACUGCUUUGAGCGGGGAAGGACCUGAGCUAUCCGUUUAGUCAGACUUGGUCGUUCCCGGGAAGUGUGAAAACCUACGGAGUACUCAAAUGUUGUUCAAAGAGUUGGGACUACAACCAAACAUAUAUAAAUCAUAUAAAUAAGGAAUGUUAGUGUGGGCAACAAUAAACUUGUGUGAGAAACUAAA